rnacentral:tRNA from 1 species
AGCCGGUUAGUUCAGUAGAAGAACGCCUGCCCUACAAGCAGGAUGUCGGGGGUGCGAAUCCCUCACCGGCUACCA